UAGGUUAAAUUUAAAGGUAUACUCUGCCCAAUGAUUAUUAAAUGGCUGCAGUAUAUUGACUGUGCAAAGGUAGCAUAAUAAUUAGUCUUUUAAUUGAAGGCUUGUAUGAAUGAGUGAAUGAGAAGUUUGUUUUAUUAUUUUUAUUUUUGUAACUUAAUUUUUUAGUUAAAAAGCUUAAUUGUUUUUUUGGGACGAGAAGACCCUAUAGAAUUUUAGUUUUUUAUUAACUGGUUGUUUUUAGGUUAUAAAUUUAUUUUGGUUUUUAAUAAUCUUUUGUUGGGGUGACAAAUAAAUUUAUCUUUAUUUUUUUAAAUCAAAAUUAUGUGUUUAAGUUGAUCCUAUGUUUUAGAUUGUAAGAUAAAAUUACCUUAGGGAUAACAGCGUAAUUUUUAUGGUGAGUUCUUAUUUAUAUUAAAGUUUGCGACCUCGAUGUUGAAUUAAGAUAAUUUUAUGGAGCAG
rnacentral:rRNA from 1 species